UACGAAGGGGGCUAGCGUUGCUCGGAAUGACUGGGCGUAAAGGGUGCGUAGGUGGCGCUGUAAGUCAGGUGUGAAAUUUCGGAGCUCAACUCCGAAACUGCAUUUGAUACUGGCGGUGCUUGAGGACUGGAGAGGAGAUUGGAAUUCACGGUGUAGCAGUGAAAUGCGUAGAUAUCGAGAGGAACACCUGCGGCGAAGGCGGGUUGCUGGGCUGACACUGACGCUGGAGGCGCGAAAGCCAGGGGAGCGAACGGG
rnacentral:rRNA from 1 species